GGGGAAUAUUGCACAAUGGGGGAAACUCUGAUGCAGCGACGCCGCGUGAGUGAAGAAGGUCUUCGGAUCGUAAAACUCUGUCCUUGGCGAAGAAUAAUGACAGUAACCAAGGAGGAAGCCCCGGCUAACUACGUGCCAGCAGCCGCGGUAAUACGUAGGGGGCGAGCGUUGUCCGGAUUUACUGGGCGUAAAGGGUGAGUAGGCGGUUGUAUAAGUCAGGUGUAAAAGGCAUAGGCUUAACCUGUGUUAGCACUUGAAACUGUACAACUUGAGUGCAGGAGAGGUAAGCGGAAUUCCUAGUGUAGCGGUGAAAUGCGUAGAUAUUAGGAGGAACACCGGUGGCGAAGGCGGCUUACUGGACUGUAACUGACGCUGAGUCACGAAAGCGUGGGGAGCAAAC
rnacentral:rRNA from 1 species